GCAGUUGCCAUGACUCUCCUCUCCGAGACAGACGCAGGUUAGAAUCUUUCCCGGAGGGUGAAGCACAAUGCUUUCCAGAAUCUCUAGUCUGACGUGUGCAGCAGAAGGAUGCCAGGCCUGAUGCCAUCGUAGCCACUGAUGCCCCACAGAAGAGUUGGAGUGAGGUUCCUGACUUACACUGUCAUGCUGUGUAACAUCUGUAGGAGGAAGGGUGCCACUCGUUUGUUCCUGGUCACCCAGAACUGAAAUAACCACACAGAAACUGUAUUAAUCAAAUCACUGCUUGGCCCAUUAGCUCUAACUUCUUAUUGGCUAACUCUUACAUCUCAAUUUAACCCAUUUCUUAUUAAUCUGUGUGUCGUCACAUGGCAGUGGCGUACCAGGUAAAAUUCCCAGGGUCUGUCUUGGCAGCUCCGUGGUGUCUCUCUGGCUCCACCCUUCCUUCUCCCAGCAUUCACUUCUGUCCUCCUGGCCUACCAAAGUUCUGCCCUAUCAACAGGCCAAGGCAGUUUCUUUAUUCAUCGUUGGCAAAUGACAGCACACAGGGGGGACUCCCACAUCACUGCUGCAGUCUGAGAAGGGAAGGAAGAUCAUGUUGGUGAUUCCCAGUUUCUUGGUGGACCCACUGCACAAACUUCCAGACCUUAGUGAGUCCUGUUUACUUUGGAACUGGCCCAAGACCACUGGAUGAAUGUUUGACAGUUUGUCCACACUGUAUCUCGAGACACAGAACUCAUCUUUGCCAGUAUGGUGGUCAAUCUAUUGAUGAAAUAAAGGGCCUGAGAACUGAGACAUCAGAAAAUUUCCCCUUUGGGGAAAAAAGACUCAUUACAAGAGCAUCUGAAGCCCGUCUUCAGAGAUGAGGAGGCGGGGGCACAGUGUGUUACUGCUCAGAGACUGGGACAGUUCAAACUUACCCUUAAAACUUAGAAGCAGCAAUGCAGGUGGACUACAGGAAAGGAAAAAGAGCUCACCCAUCACAGAAACCUCUUCUUGUCUUUUGAUAAGAAUGGAGUUAAGAGAAUUGUGAUUUGAAAAAUCACAUUUUUUUGUAUUUAUUGUUAAUUUCUGUGCUGAAAUUAUGGUAUUUAUCUGUUAAUGUUUGUGAGUGCUUUAGUUCGUUAUGAAGAUG